UUGGCAUACCAAAUGUUUGCAGAGAAACAGACACACAUACAUGUUGAUUAUAGGCAAUGAAUGGCCAACAUAAACUCCCCACCCCCUUAAAACUCAGUCAUCCAUAGCUACAGAAACAACCCAUCCACAGCCCCAAAGGCACUGGAGACACACUCUCUCUCUCUCUCUCUCUCUCUCUCACACACACACACACACACACACACACACACACACACACACACACACUCACACCCCUGACUACCAAGGUGCUUGCCUGGUCCUAUUCAAGGCCCCCUUCCUUUUCUGCAGCCCUCCCUCCUCCCCUCCCCAGUUCUCCUGUCUCCUAGCCUCAGCCCCUAGCUCCCCAGGGUUCUCCAGGACAGUUGUUCAGAAGGACAAAGGCUUCCAGGUCUGAUUACAUCCAGCUGAAGAAACCUUUCUGUCUUAGGAUGGCCCCUUUCACUGGGAUCUGCUCUCCACACUUGGGGGUGGAUUAGAAGUACUUGCCAUGGCCCCCAGAGACACGUGCAGAUAAAAUCCCUUCCCUCACCUUUGGAUGCAACCUUCACACUCACAUCAACCUGCUUGGACAGGGGAGAGCAAGCAAUGCAGGAGGCAGAGGAGAAAAGAAGAACAAUGUAAAGAGACCCUGAACUGAGCACAAGUUGGGCAGGGCCUUUCAUGGAUGCGCGGCUCUACAGCCUUUCCGCCCCCGCUGCCUCCUUCCCAAAGACUUGUUUCCCAGAACCGCAGGCCUUCUCUCAGCAGCCUUCUCUUCUCUGAUGUCCUCCUGACAACUGGGGUUCUUGGGGGAGGCCUUCCUCAGAGAUGUCUAAUCUCCCGCGUGGGCCCUAGUUCUCCUGCAUGUCUACUGGAGUUUCGGCAGCCCUGGACAUCAUAGCUGAAGCCCGGGUCCCGGAUCUGCUGCCACUUCUGAGUCUCUGUAACACAUCGCCCUCUCCUGGGAGCAAGGUGAAUUUGCAGCACUGCCAACCAAGCUGCUGGAUCUGAGGACUCGGGAGGUGAAUCCACUGUCUCUGAAGGUCUUCCCCAGGUUUUGACAGUUUGGGUUACACGGACACACGUGGAGCCCGUAAAGCUAAGGGAUGCUCCAGGCAUGUGUGUGCAAGGAGGUCUCGUGGACCCCAGAUGGCUCUGAAAUAGCUGCAGCCUACGUCUCCUGUUCCAAUGCCCAGUCCACCACCUCCUUCUCCCCCUACCCCUCCUGUUAUUCAUUUUCCUCCUCUUCCUCUCGGCCACCUACACUGGGGACUGGCAGUGACAAUUUCAGUGACUGCUGUACAGUCACUGGAGAUGGUGGGACCCUGGUGGGAAAUAGCCUGGCCAGUGCUCCAUCUGAAGUGGCUUCACAGGAGAGCCCAGUAAGACACAGGUGGGAAAUGUCAGCCAGACACCAUGGAGAACAGGAAAGAGGGGUGAGGGAGAGCGGCCUUGACCCCCUUUCAGGGGGCGGGGGAUUGAUCUCAAUGGAGAAGGGGGUCUGGGGUAAGGCUGGCCUUCUCCAGAGGUUCCAGCCCCACCUUUGAGAUCCAGAUUUCGGGCACCGUUGGAAUGCUGCGUGACUGUGCGGGAGUCGAUCUUCAGUGUGUGCACGUUGCCUGGGUCCCUGGACACCACCACAUUGUGCCAUUGGUUGUCAUUGACUGGUUUGUCUGAGUUUCCCUUCAUCAAGGACGGGCCAUUUCCCAGGUCAAACACGUAGUGGAUGUACCUGCCCCACGGUAGGGAGGAAACACCAGAUCAGACGGGCACCACAGAGAUGCCAGGCGAGAAUGAGCUACUGCUGGCAGAAAAACCAGGGGCCUGGGGCAGAGGGGUAGACAAGGGAUCCCAUGGGAAGGGACCAAAAAAUGGCACUGGAAGCUUGAGGCAUGAAGUCUUGUCCCAGGGAGGUCACGGAAGCACUUGCUCUUGGCCCCCAAAAGAGGACCUGACAGAAGGGGAGUUUUGGUAAUACAGUAGGGGUCCCCUAGAAGCAGGGUCUGAACUACUUGAGGGCGCAAUUCUCCAGGGCAAGAGAAAGACUUGGCUGACUUCUGCCAUAAAGAGGACAGUGGCCAGAGAAGGGACGUGACUGGGAACCCUGGCAAGGAAGUGGCCGAGGAGCCAACAGCCCAGAAGCAGGGUUGGGCUUCUCCAUCUUGGCUGCAGAGGGACCCUCCUGGCUGAUGACUAAAGAUGUGGCUCUUGA